UGGGACAAGAGGGCCAGGAAGCAUCGUCCCAAAUGCCCACAUGCCUUUGUUUUUCUUUUCUUGGGUGAUGACACUGAGAAUGUUCUGUUUUUACAGAUGGCCUCCUUGCUGAAUUGUGGAAGGAAAAUUGUAAAUAGCAAUUUGCAUCCUGUUUACCCAUGUUUCUCUGUGCCAUAGUUCCCUGGCAGCUGUGUCCGCCUGGAGGGGGAUAUAUGAAGUAGCAGUGGUGGGUUCUCUCCUUACUCCCAGGGACCAACUUGGAAGGCCUGAGUUAAGACUCUGACACUGGCCAGUGAGUGCACACCUCAGUUCAGGUGCCCAGAAACCAUUAAGGCCUGUAAGAAUUUGUGUUGCUGUUGUACCUCAUAUUUCUCCAUCAGGCACCAGAAGCAGCAAAUCCCAGUGGUAACAACGCAGUGACAGCACCAGCGGAAUGCAGCAUUGUACCUUCUCUGUGAGUGGACUGAGACCGGGGCUGAGUCGCACCAUGGUAACUACCUACAACGCAGUGUCUUGGUCUCUCUGAAUGUCAGAGUCCAGGUAUAAAGGAGCACACGAGACAGAGCAGAGUGACACGGGGAAGCCAGCUGCCAUGUUGUGGACAGCACUGUGGAGAGGCCCACAUGGUAGUGAACUGAAGUCUCCUGACAGUAGCCACGUGAGUGCGCAAUUUUGGAAGUGGGUCCUCCAGCCACAGUCAAGCCUUCAGGUGACUGCAGCCCCUGAUGACCACUUGGCUGCCAGAGGUACCCAGCUGAGCCACUCCUGGAUUCCUGACCCUCAGAAACUGUGGUACAGUAUGCAGAGACCUUCCUCGCCGCACUUCAGACCAGAGUUCCUAGCGUGAACCGGCUGUGCCCACCACCUGAGCUGGGCGGGCUGCCUGCGGAAGAGCUGCACGUGACACCGCACUCCAAGAUGGCGGCGACGGGCAGCCGGCAGAUGGGCUGCACCUGCGUCGAGGUGGGGAGUUCUCGCGAGAACUCUGCCCUCCGCGCUGACGAGAACCCUAUAAAGCAGCCGUCCAUUUGGCUUUGCGGGGCAUUUCGGGAGAGCGAGGAGGUCAGAGCGAGAGCUUGUGCCGCUCGGUUCUCUGACCAAAGAACGAAGUUUUCCUUUGCUUCCAGACUGAACUCGGUCUCAUUCCGUUCACGUAAGUGAAACGGGGUAGAAGGACUCUUGACUGGGACUGACUCGGGAGGGAUGGUAACACAACUGUAAACUGCGCUGGCUACCUGUUUUUGUAAAUAAGGUUUUAUUGGAGCAGUAUUGGCGUCAUGUGCGUGUUGGAUAGAAAUGCAGAAUCUCAGGCCCCACUCCAGAACUUUAAUGCAUCAUUUGCAUUUUAACAAGAUCAUCUGAAUGUGUGUUCAUUAAAAUCUGAACUGCUCUAGUGAUUUCA